AUUGAACGCUGGCGGCAGGCCUAACACAUGCAAGUCGAACGGUAACAGGAAGCAGCUUGCUGCUUUGCUGACGAGUGGCGGACGGGUGAGUAAUGUCUGGGAAACUGCCCGAUGGAGGGGGAUAACUACUGGAAACGGUAGCUAAUACCGCAUAACGUCGCAAGACCAAAGAGGGGGACCUUAGGGCCUCUUGCCAUCGGAUUUGCCCAGAUGGGAUUAGCUAGUAGGUGGGGUAACGGCUCACCUAGGCCACGAGCCCUAGCUGGUCUGAGAGGAUGACCAGCCACACUGGAACUGAGACACGGUCCAGACUCCUACGGGAGGCAGCAGUGGGGAAUAUUGCACAAUGGGCGCAAGCCUGAUGCAGCCAUGCCGCGUGUAUGAAGAAGGCCUUCGGGUUGUAAAGUACUUUCAGCGGGGAGGAAGGGAGUAAAGUUAAUACCUUUGCUCAUUGACGUUACCCGCAGAAGAAGCACCGGCUAACUCCGUG
rnacentral:rRNA from 1 species